UAGAAAGGAAUGAACAAUAUUUAGGCAUUCAUUGUUUUAUCUGCUGAAUUUAAGAGCCUUUAAAACAGUAAAAUAUCUCAUUUCAAAAUGACUUUGACGGCCAUGAAGAUUUUAACAAACCAUAACAGGCAUUUCUUUCAACAGUGCUUAUGUGGCAACGGCCAUGCUACCCGUCAUGUGGAAGGCCACUCAAUCCUCACACCCACCUUGUAAAGAUGAAGCCCGCCUUGUCUCCAUUUUUUCACAGGAGGAACCUAAAUCUAGGAGACGUUAAAUUCCCGGCCCAAGUGGUGAAGCCAGGAAUUGGAAGCUGCUCUGUUAUCUCACUGCAGAGUCUUAGAAAAAACAUAGCGAAAUGUUUCAACAGGCUCAGAAAAGUUCCUGGGGAGUUCCAUCUCCUCUCAAGCUACCCAGCCCACUCGGAAGCAACCACUUACCGGUUCCUGGUGCAGUUUUUAGGUCCAGCACUGUACAGGUGCUCAGUAUAUUUUCAGAUUUGCCCGGAAGCGGAAUUGCUGAAUCUAGGGAAUGAGCGUUGUAAUGCUGGAGGACAGAGCCUAGUUUUUCGCCGCAGAGGGCGCUCCAACUUGCACCCUCGUCCUCCAUAGACAGUGCGCCUGCGCAGUUCUCACACAGGGACCGCAGCCACCGUUCGACCCGUUAAGCUUCUUUUAUUGCUGUCAAUUUGAUAUUAAAACUCCCAUUGGCGUACACUUUCAUUUGCAUUUCCCCUUAUGAAUGUUGUUGAAAAUCUUUUAAUACGCGCAAAUUUUAAGAGAAAUUUUUAUUUCUCCACGUACUAGCCAUAAUCUUUUUGGUGUAAUUAGAUCCCUUUUCUUUCACCUUUCUUUCUUUCUUUCUUUCUUUCUUUCUUUCUUUCUUUCUUUCUUUCUUUCUUUCUUUCUUUCUUUCUGUACUGGGCAUUGAAUCCAAGCACUUCACACUAAGCAAUAUCCGCAGCCCUUUAUUAAUUUUAUUUUAAGUUUUGAAACAGGGCUUCACUGAGACACAAAGUAGCCCAGUCUGGGCUGGAACUUGAGUCUUUCCUGCUUCAGCCUCCCAGAGCGAGGACUAUAGGUGAGCACUACCCUGUCUAGCUUUUUUUUUUAUUUUUAUUUUUUGGAAGAAGAUUUCAUACAAAUAUAUCAAGGAAAUCAGCAUUUUGUUUGGAAUAUGAGCUAUAAAAACGUGUUGACAAAUGCCAAGCCUAGUCCGUAGAGCACAGAUACUUUUUAAACGCUUCCUCACGCAACGAAACUAUUUUCAAUAAAAAUCCUGAAACCAAAGGAAUAAGUAGAUGCAGGAAAUGAAAUAGUAAACGUUUUCUUUUAUUGAAAUUCAUAUGUGUAAUCAUACUGUAAACAUUUAAAAAGUAAAAUACAUAUUACAGUGCAAACAAGAAAAAAGAUUAAUAUUUUAAAUUACACUAACAAUGAAAAAGGGAAGUCAUACCUGUGUAUAGGUCUGUUACGGUGACGAAUCAUGAUAUUACAGCUUAACAAUAAUUAAAGACAUUAGAAGAAAAGCACA